rnacentral:rRNA from 1 species
AACGAACGCUGGCGGUAUGCUUAACACAUGCAAGUCGAACGAGAAAACCACUUCGGUGGCAAGUAAAGUGGCGCACGGGUGAGUAACACGUAGAUAACCUACCCUUUAGUUUGGGAUAACUUUCUGAAAAGAAGGCUAAUACCGAAUAAUACAGGAUACCUGAUGGUUUCCUGUUAAAAGAUUUAUCGCUAAGGGAUGGGUCUGCGUACCAUUAGCUAGUUGGUAGGGUAAAGGCUUACCAAGGCAACGAUGGUUAGCGGGUCUGAGAGGAUGAUCCGCCACACUGGAACUGAGACACGGUCCAG